rnacentral:rRNA from 1 species
UACAGAGGGUGCGAGCGUUAAUCGGAUUUACUGGGCGUAAAGCGUGCGUAGGCGGCUUCGUAAGUUGGAUGUGAAAUCCCCGAGCUUAACUUGGGAAUUGCAUUCAAAACUGUGAAGCUAGAGUAUGGGAGAGGAUGGUAGAAUUCCAGGUGUAGCGGUGAAAUGCGUAGAGAUCUGGAGGAAUACCGAUGGCGAAGGCAGCCAUCUGGCCUAAUACUGACGCUGAGGUACGAAAGCAUGGGGAGCAAAC